AGGUAUAUUAACCAGAGAGAGCAUGAAAUCAUUCAAGAGUCUAGAUGCCCAAAUCUUUUAUCAGUCUGGAUUGGUGAAACUUGUCCAAAUCUACAUCCCUGAGCAAUCUAACCAUGUCAUUCUUAGAGCCGAUGUCACAACUUCUAUGAGAGUAAAUGAAGCACCACAUCAUCCAUGGAUGUCUCUCACUAAAGAUGGUUCAGUUGCAGCAGCCCACUGUGACUGCAUGGCCGGGUAACUAUUUUUUACAUACUCAUUUAUGAAAAUUAAAUUGUG
rnacentral:lncRNA from 1 species